rnacentral:rRNA from 1 species
UACGUAGGGUGCAAGCGUUAAUCGGAAUUACUGGGCGUAAAGCGUGCGCAGGCGGUGAUGUAAGUCAGAUGUGAAAUCCCCGGGCUCAACCUGGGAACUGCAUUUGUGACUGCAUCGCUGGAGUGCGGCAGAGGGGGAUGGAAUUCCGCGUGUAGCAGUGAAAUGCGUAGAUAUGCGGAGGAACACCGAUGGCGAAGGCAAUCCCCUGGGCCUGCACUGACGCUCAUGCGCGAAAGCGUGGGGAGCAAACAGG